GACGCAGGGGGCUAGCGUUGUUCGGAAUUACUGGGCGUAAAGCGUGUGUAGGUGGUUGUCCAAGUUGGAUGUGAAAGCCUUGAGCUCAACUCAAGAAAUGCAUUCAGGACUGGGCGACUAGAGGACCGGAGAGGAUAGUGGAAUUCCCAGUGUAGUGGUGAAAUACGUAGAGAUUGGGAAGAACACCAGUGGCGAAGGCGGCUAUCUGGACGGUUUCUGACACUAAGACACGAAAGCGUGGGGAGCAAACAGG
rnacentral:rRNA from 1 species